GCGAACGCUGGCGGCAGGCUUAACACAUGCAAGUCGAGCGGGCACUUUCGGGUGUCAGCGGCGGACGGGUGAGUAACGCGUGGGAACGUGCCCUCUGGUUCGGAAUAACUCAGGGAAACUUGAGCUGAUACCGGAUACGCCCUUUUGGGGAAAGGCUUGCUGCCGGAGGAUCGGCCCGCGUCUGAUUAGCUAGUUGGUGAGGUAACGGCUCACCAAGGCGACGAUCAGUAGCUGGUCUGAGAGGAUGAUCAGCCACACUGGGACUGAGACACGGCCCAGACUCCUACGGGAGGCAGCAGUGGGGAAUAUUGGACAAUGGGCGCAAGCCUGAUCCAGCCAUGCCGCGUGAGUGAUGGAGGCCUUAGGGUUGUAAAGCUCUUUUAUCCGGGACGAUAAUGACGGUACCGGAGGAAUAAGCCCCGGCUAACUUCGUG
rnacentral:rRNA from 1 species